rnacentral:tRNA from 1 species
AGAGUUGUAGUUUAUAAAAAACAACUUGUUUCAAACUAGUAGAAAGGAUUAAGUUCCUCUUCUCUG